rnacentral:rRNA from 1 species
AUUGAACGCUGGCGGCAGGCCUAACACAUGCAAGUCGAGCGGGGUUUUCGGACCUAGCGGCGGACGGGUGAGUAAUGCGUAGGAAGCUGCCCGAUAGAGGGGGAUACCAGUUGGAAACGACUGUUAAUACCGCAUAAUGUCUACGGACCAAAGUGUGGGACCUUCGGGCCACAUGCUAUCGGAUGCGCCUACGUGGGAUUAGCUAGUUGGUGAGGUAAUGGCUCACCAAGGCGACGAUCUCUAGCUGGUUUGAGAGGAUGAUCAGCCACACUGGAACUGAGACACGGUCCAGACUCCUACGGGAGGCGGCAGUGGGGAAUAUUGGACAAUGGGCGCAAGCCUGUUCCAGCCAUGCCGCGUGUGUGAAGAAGGCCUUCGGGUUGUAAAGCACUUUCAGCGAGGAGGAAGGGGUGUGUGUUAAUAGUACACACCUUUGACGUUACUCGCAGAAGAAGCACCGGCUAACUCUGUGCCAGCAGCCGCCGUAACAC